UACGUAGGGAGCAAGCGUUGUUCGGAUUUACUGGGCGUAAAGGGCGCGUAGGCGGCGCGGUAAGUCACUUGUGAAAUCUCUGAGCUUAACUCAGAACGGCCAAGUGAUACUGCAGUGCUAGAGUGCAGAAAGGGCAAUCGGAAUUCUUGGUGUAGCGGUGAAAUGCGUAGAUAUCAAGAGGAACACCUGAGGCGAAGGCGGGUUGCUAGGCUGACACUGACGCUGAGGCACGAAGGUCAGGGGAGCAAACGGGG
rnacentral:rRNA from 1 species